rnacentral:rRNA from 1 species
CAGUCGCCGCGGUAAAACCAGCACCUCGAGUGGUCAGGAGGUUUAUUGGGCCUAAAGCAUCCGUAGCCGGUUGCAUAAGUUUUCGGUUAAAUCUAUGCGCUUAACGUAUAGGCCGCCGAAAAUACUGUGCAGCUAGGGAGUGGGAGAGGUACACGGUACUCGAUAGGAAGGGGUAAAAUCCUUUGAUCUAUUGAUGACCACCUGUGGCGAAGGCGGUGUACCAGAACACGUUCGACGGUGAGGGAUGAAAGCUGGGGGAGCAAACCGGAUUAGAUACCCCGGUAGUCCCUGUCUCUUAUAC